ensembl:ncRNA lncRNA:CR44306 long non-coding RNA:CR44306
AGUAGAUAUGGCCAGAAGAUACAUAACUCCCAACCGCAACUCGAAACGAAAAGCAAUUCAAACGCAAUUACUUUUGAUUAUACGACUUGGGUAGCAGGAGCAAGGAACAUGAACAAGAACUACAAAACGGCAACCAUUAUAUUUGGCCACUAAUUGGAGCAAUUUGAGACAACACCUCAGAUUGUGGGUCCCGGGCGCAGUUCCUUUUUGGCCAAGAGCACGACCGCACCGAGGAAUCAAUAAGCGGGCCAACAACAACAGCCACAACAUCAUUACUGGCCUUUCGACGUUCGAAGGAGGAACUCCAUGCGAUUCAUAUGCCAGUCACAUCGCCGACAGACGUGUUAUGAUACACGGCCCAACCGAAAAGGCAGUUGGGCAGGCACCGGGAUGCCCUCCACCUCCUCCUCUUGGCUGGGCUUAACUCCCUGCCCUGCUCGACUCGAUCCUCCCCUGAAUCGAUUUAAUUUGCCGUGCGGAAAACGAGUUCGAGUUCCAGUCAAGUCGAGUCGAGUUGAGUCGAUUCGAUACGAGACGAGGGAACAAUGUCAGUUACUGGGCGUCGAUUAAAGAAAUAUGCGUCCCGCUCCGCAGUCCGUUGAUUGCGCUGAUGUGGGCACAAAAAUGCGUGAGAGGGUGCGGAAAGCGACGAGGAGUGGGGCAGGAGGUGGAGCUCUGUGGAGGAGCACUGAUGCCGCAGAAGCCGAGCAGCAAACUGAAAAAGUGUUGAUGCUGCAAACAUCAGCGACAGAGCCACGGAGCAGCGGGCAGUCCCGGUUCCAACUGCCCAUCUCGAUCUGU